rnacentral:rRNA from 1 species
CUCCUACGGGAGGCAGCAGCUAAGAAUAUUCCGCAAUGGACGGAAGUCUGACGGAGCGACGCCGCGUGGAUGAAGAAGGCUGAAAAGUUGUAAAAUCCUUUUGUUGAUGAAGAAUAAGGGUGAGAGGGAAUGCUCAUCUGAUGACGGUAAUCGACGAAUAAGCCCCGGCUAAUUACGUGCCAGCAGCCGCGGUAACACGUAAGGGGCGAGCGUUGUUCGGAAUUAUUGGGCGUAAAGGGCAUGUAGGCGGCUAUGUAAGCCUGAUGUGAAAUCCUGGGGCUUAACCCUAGAAUAGCAUUGGGUACUGUAUAGCUUGAAUUACGGAAGGGAAACUGGAAUUCCAAGUGUAGGGGUGGAAUCUGUAGAUAUUUGGAAGAACACCGGUGGCGAAGGCGGGUUUCUGGCCGAUAAUUGACGCUGAGAUGCGAAAGUGUGGGGAUCGAACAGGAUUAGAUACCCUGGUAGUCCACACUGUAAACGAUGUACACUAGGUGUUGGGGCAAGAGCUUCAGUGCCAAAGCAAACGCGAUAAGUGUACCGCCUGGGGAGUAUGCCCGCAAGGGUGAAACUCACAGGAAUUGACGGGGGCCCGCACAAG